AAGAUACCAGGUAAAAUCCUUUUUAAUGAUUAAAGGGAUACUUCACCGUUUUAGGAUUAAGCUUUGCAUCAGUAGAAGCCCGGUAGUAUUUUUGAAUGACCGUGCUUCCCCCCCUCACGUCCACCUGAGAUGAGAGAUCUUUGUAUUGCGUGACUGGAAGAAAAAACAUCUGAUGAUGCAAAAAAACGUGAUUUUGCAUCAUUGGAGGCAUUUUUGCCCAGAGCUAGUGAACUACAAGCCA